AUUCCUUUAAAAAUGCCCACUGAGGUGACACAGGCACAAAGCAGACGCAGCCUACACAACCCUGAAUGACAAGCCCCCAUGUGUGAUAGGUAGUGAAAACGUCCUCCUCAGUGAAACCCAGAUUAUUUCACAGAAGCACCUCCAGAAAAAAAAACAGAAUGUUGUUCCAGACAGGAAAAUCAAGGUAUGUGAUUUAUCUGUGUCUGGCCUGCCUCUCCCGUGCUCUUACCCCACCUUUAUUCUUCCUUGUAUUCUUUCUUUCUUAGGCUUGUAAACUCAAGGUGUUGAGGGAGGAGAAGGCUGGCUGAACUUUCAUUUCCUGCAAGGGUUUCCUGUAUGAUGUAACAAUGAGAGUGGGAGCAGCAAACAGCUCCUCAAGCAUUAACUGUGUCAGGAUGUUUGAGAUUGUGCAAAGCAAAUGGUACUCAGAGGCUCGAAGCAAAGUUUUUCUCCAUCGUCCCAGCUGGAAUACCCUCUUGUACUUGGACUAAGACCUAUUUUUCAAUGAGGAUGAAGAGUCACACAAAGAAUGCACAAACUGAUUACCCGUGUAAUCAGUACUUACCUACUCACAGAAAUCAGAGGUCUAUGGACAAUCAAUAUGGAUGCCAACUACACUGUUUUUCAUUAG
rnacentral:lncRNA from 1 species